GGGAACUGAAACAUCUAAGUACCCCGAGGAAGAGAAAUCAACCGAGAUUCCGAAAGUAGCGGCGAGCGAAAUUGGAUUAGCCCUUAAGCUUUUAAUGAUGCAGGUGAAGAGUCUGGAAAGUCUCGCAAUAAAGGGUGAUAGCCCCGUAACCGACACAUCAUAAUCAGUGAAAACGAGUAGGGCGGGACACGUGAUAUCCUGUCUGAAUAUGGGGGGACCAUCCUCCAAGGCUAAAUACUACUGACUGACCGAUAG
rnacentral:rRNA from 1 species